AUUGAACGCUGGCGGCAGGCUUAACACAUGCAAGUCGAGCGGGGAAGGGUAGCUUGCUACCUGACCUAGCGGCGGACGGGUGAGUAAUGCUUAGGAAUCUGCCUAUUAGUGGGGGACAACAUUCCGAAAGGAAUGCUAAUACCGCAUACGCCCUACGGGGGAAAGCAGGGGAUCUUCGGACCUUGCGCUAAUAGAUGAGCCUAAGUCAGAUUAGCUAGUUGGUGGAGUAAAGGCCUACCAAGGCGACGAUCUGUAGCGGGUCUGAGAGGAUGAUCCGCCACACUGGGACUGAGACACGGCCCAGACUCCUACGGGAGGCAGCAGUGGGGAAUAUUGGACAAUGGGCGAAAGCCUGAUCCAGCCAUGCCGCGUGUGUGAAGAAGGCCUUUUGGUUGUAAAGCACUUUAAGCGAGGAGGAGGCUACUUGGAUUAAUACUCUAGGAUAGUGGACGUUACUCGCAGAAUAAGCACCGGCUAACUCUGUGCCAGCCGCCGCCGUAAUAC
rnacentral:rRNA from 1 species